GACGAACGCUGGCGGCGUGCCUAAUACAUGCAAGUAGAACGCACAGUUUAUACCGUAGCUUGCUACACCAUAGACUGUGAGUUGCGAACGGGUGAGUAACGCGUAGGUAACCUGCCUGGUAGCGGGGGAUAACUACGGGAAACGUUAGCUAAUACCGCAUAAUAUUGAUUAUUGCAUGAUAAUUGAUUGAAUGAUGCUAUUGCAUCACUACCAGAUGGACCUGCGUUGUAUUAGCUAGUAGGUGAGGUAACGGGUCACCUAGGGGAAGACACAUAGCCGACCUGGGAGGGUGAUCGGCCAACAUGGGAACGGGAAACGGCCCAGGACCCUAACGGAGGGAGCAGUAGGGGAAUUUCGGCAAAGGGGGGAAGGCUGACCGAAGAAAGCCGGGGGGGGGGAGGAAGUUUUCGGAUCGUAAAGCUCUGUUGUAAGGGAAGAAAGGGUGUGAGAGUGGAAAGUUCACAUUGUGACGGUAUCUUACCAGAAAGGGACGGCUAACUACGUG
rnacentral:rRNA from 1 species